CGCAGGGUAGAGCAGUCUGGUAGCUUGUCAGGCUCAUAACCUGAAGGUCGUUGGUUCAAAUCCAACCCCUGCACCCA
rnacentral:tRNA from 1 species